UCGUAUUAAUUUGUUUUUUUUAGUAAUUUCGCUAUUUUAGCUUGAUUAUGCUUUUUGAAAUUUUGUGAUUUGAUUUUUGCGAUUUGAUUUAUGCGGUUUUCGGAUUUGAUUUCAUGAAUUUCGCAUGAAUUUCAAUGUAAAUUGUUUAUAAACUUGAAUAAAACCAAGUCAAAUUGAGCGAUUUGAGUAUAAAUUUGGCAAAUACAAAACCUAGAUUGAUCAAGAACAAAUCGAAGAAAAAUAUCCUUUAAAUUCACGCUCAAUUCUCCGACCUCAAUUGCCGGAAAUAAUUGCUGAUGAAGUCUUCAUCACAAUGCUUGAAGGGACAUGAAGCCGAAAAAUAUUCUUAUUGGUUCAGGCUCCAUUGUUAAGCUUUGUGAUUUUGGUUUUGCUCGUGCCAUGUCAAUUAACCAUGUUUUUACUUCACUCCAUCAAAGGUACUCCAUUGUACAUGGCUCCUGAGCUUGUUCGCGAACAGCCAUAGAAUCACACAGUUGACUUGUUGUCAAAAUUGAUAUAAUUACCUUAUUUUUGUAUAUAGUGAUGGAGUGACCUCUGGGUUAUAUAUAUAUAUAUA